rnacentral:rRNA from 1 species
ACCCUAUACGGGGGAUCACUUGGCUCGUGGGUCGAUGAAGAACGCAGCUAACUGUGUGAAAUCGUGUGAACUGCAGGACACAUGAACAUCGACAUUUUGAACGCAUAUUGCGGUCCAUGCAAAAGUUUUUUCUCUUUUGAUAAAACUGCAUGGACCACGUAUGGUUGAGUGUCG